GGCUCCGGACCGGCCUGAUGAUGGAGUUCGACUGCGAGGGCGUGAGACGGCUGCUUGGCAAGUUUUUAAAGAUAGUUCUCAGAAAGACCUGCUGAAUUUUACUGGCACAAUUCCUGUGAUGUAUCAGGCCUAAAUCUGUCAUUGUUGGAUUAAUUAAAGAAAUGAUUGCCAAGUUUCAAGAGGAACUUCCCAUGUAUUCUCUAUCAUCAUCUGAUGAGGCACGGCAGGUAGACUUGCUAGCCUAUAUUGCAAAAAUCACUGAAGGUGUUUCAGAUACAAAUUCUAAGAGCUGGGCAAAUCAUGAGAAUAAAACAGUCAAUAAAAUUACUGUGGUUGGAGGUGGAGAGCUGGGUAUUGCCUGCACAUUAGCAAUUUCAGCAAAGGGCAUUGCAGACAGGCUUGUCCUCUUAGACCUCUCAGAAGGGACUAAAGGAGCCACAAUGGACCUUGAAAUCUUCAACCUUCCUAAUGUGGAGAUCAGCAAAGAUUUGUCUGCCUCUGCUCAUUCCAAGGUGGUGAUCUUCACAGUCAACUCUUUGGGUAGUUCUCAGUCGUACCUUGAUGUGGUACAGAGCAAUGUGGAUAUGUUCAGAGCCCUUGUCCCAGCUCUGGGACAUUAUAGUCAACACAGUGUCCUGCUCGUUGCAUCUCAACCAGUGGAAAUCAUGACCUAUGUAACAUGGAAACUGAGUACAUUUCCUGCAAAUCGAGUGAUUGGAAUUGGAUGUAAUCUGGAUUCACAGAGAUUACAGUAUAUUAUUACAAAUGUUUUGAAGGCACAGACUUCAGGCAAAGAAAUAUGGGUUAUUGGCGAGCAAGGAGAAGACAAAGUGCUCACAUGGAGUGGCCAAGAAGUAGCAGCGAGUCACACCUCUCAAGUGCAGCUGUCCAACAGAGCCAUGGAACUGCUAAGAGUAAAAGGUCAAAGAUCCUGGUCUGUUGGACUAUCAGUAGCUGACAUGGUUGACAGUAUCGUAAACAAUAAGAAGAAAGUGCAUUCUGUAUCAACUUUAGCAAAGGGAUAUUAUGAUAUAAAUAGUGAAGUGUUUUUAAGUUUGCUUUGCAUCCUUGGAACCAAUGGAGUAUCUGAAGUUAUCAAAACCACACUGAAAGAAGAUACAGUUACUGAGAAGCUCCAAAGCAGUGCAUCCUCAAUCCACGGUCUCCAACAACAGUUAAAACUUUGAUUCUCAAAUGCAAUUUGAGAGGCUGGAUUUCUACCUAAAGGGAAAAGUCAUUUAAUUUUACCAAUAUAUAUAGGUUUGAGGAUUUCUGUAUCCUGCUACUUACCCUUACAAACUGCCUGGUUAAAGUAGAGGGUUUCUUGAUUAGCUUUGUGAUGUAAAUCCUUAAGGAGUUAUACAAGGAAGGGAAAAAUUAAUUUUAUUUGGGGUUCUUGAGAUAUCUAUGCUGUUCUUUAAAUCUACAGCAGGGGUAAACAUUCAUCUGCAGUGUGCAUCAAUUUAAAUCAUAUAUCCUAAACUAAAAGCACAAUUCAUACUUUGGGAAUAUUUUAUAAGUAAUAUAUCUUUAAAAGAAAAUUACCCUUUGACUUUUAUAAUCAACAUAAGUUCAAGGCCCAGUAUGGAUUUACAAAAUCUGUGUCAGUUGUACAUUCACAGGAUCCACAGCUUAAGUUACUAAUGUUUCUUGUGUAAAAUCCUGUUGGUAGUAAUAGUAAAGCAUUGUAUUUCCCUUCUUCAAAUUAAUUAGCUACCAAAAAAUGGAAAAGAAUUUUACAUGCACUUUAAAAUAGUAAAAUGGAAAGUGAAUUUUUAAAAUAUAUGCAUUAAAAGUUUACUUUAAUUUCCAGUGGGACUUCCUUUAUGAAA
rnacentral:sRNA from 1 species